rnacentral:lncRNA from 1 species
AGAGAAAGGAAGGAAGGAAGGGAGAUCCUCCAAACCCUCCCGCUCCCCACGCAGCGACCCCCGCAGAAGUUUCUCCCGACGGCGGCCGCAGCCGUCCCCGCACUUACAAAGCCGUAUCCCCGGGACUUGCCCGUCUGCCGGUCGGUGAUGACCACCGCCUCCUCGAUGUCGCCGAACACCUCGAAGUACUUGCGCAGGCUGGAGUCGGUGGUGUGGUGGUACUGAAUUGCACACGGAGCAAAUUAGGGAAGAGUGCAGCUUCGGAGGGGACAGCUGUGAGCGUGGCACGGUGCAGCAGUCGGCGCCACGGGCUGCUGACAGAGCAAGAUGCACACCGAAUUCAAGCACUCCUCCCCCAGUCAGAGAUCUCACUUCUUGCCAUCCCCGCCCUGGGAGGAUGUAGAGAACUGCAGAGCUGCAAGGACGAGAUGGAGACUGCCCGCAGGCUGGAGAGAAAAGAGAACUGGGUCAAAGAGAAGAACGCCAGGGGAAGAGAGGAGCCCAACGAGGAAGGCGGGAAAGAGAGGGAGGAAACCUGCCCCGAGGCAGCGCCGAGCUGGGCCGCGGCGGGGCGGCAGCGAGCAGGGGCUGGCGGCCUGAGGCCGGGACCGGGGCGCGGCGGGGAGUUCCGCGGGGCAGGGUGACACCUGCCGGGCGUGGGGGGGCGGCAAGAGCCCGGCUCAGCAGAACCAGGGCCGAGCGUGGAGCUGGAUGCGGCCGGCUCGUUGUGUGGAGGCUGAGGGGCGGCGUCGUGGCGGCUCUACGCGGGGAGCGGGCGGGCAGCGCUGAGCUCUGCUCUCUGUCACACCGACAGGGCCCGAGGGAACGGCACGGGGCUGCGUCGUGUUUUAAAAGCAGACGCAGUGCACCUCACUUGUGUCUGUGCCUGCUAAGAGCCCCGCCGUUGUCGGAUACACGCCGUGUUUACUGUUGCUCUUCUCAGGCUGUGCGGUUGACGAGUGAGAGCAGUGUGUCUGACACAGCUGAGCCGUGCAGGAGCCCACAGGUGGUCACAGUACAGAAAGGCACCUUGCCUGCUGCUGUGCUUCUCUCUGUGUGUCGUGAGGCCUUUUGUGCUCCAGGGAGAUAAAAUCCUCACCUGGGAAAUAGUGGAAGAAAGGACAUUGGGUGUUUGUCCCGUCCUUCUGAAACCACAGGAAGGCUUCGGGCAACUACUAGUGCUUCAGUAUCUUUGCCUUCAUUAAAAAGGAGGCUAAUCAGCUCAGUAGAACAGUCUGAUAUAUGUACACACAGACACACGUUUUUAUUCCAGGCCUGGCUAGGCAGCCUUAGCUUAAAGAAUCUGAGAGAAAAUUCGAUGAACAACAUUGGUUAACUGCAUGGUGAAAACACAUCCUCAAUCUCCUGCUUCCCGUCUGUCAGACUGUUGGACGACUUCAAGCCAGCUGACCAAAGUUCUUCUUUUUCCUAAGUUUGUUUCUCUUUUUCUUCGGUAUUUUUACAGUUCUUACCAGGCAACACAGGGUAAUUUUCAGUUUUGCUUUUCCAUUUGCUACUGUGUCCCAUUUUUUUUUUCUUAAAAACCAACAUGGCCAGGCCUGAAGCAUUGGUCUCUUCCUGAUGAGCUUACUCACUCAGCUGCUCAAGUGGGAUCCCAGCUGCUUGAGUAGUGAGAUGAGAUCUUGUUCCUACCUUUGAUGUUUUAGUGCAAGUAUUAUUUGUUUAUUUAUUUAAUUUCCCGAGAGUAAUAGGGAGAACCACAACGAGACUGUACAAAUAAAGGCUACAUUUUUCUCUUUUCUAUAGUACCUGGCGAAGAGAGCAGUGGUCCAGUACCAGAACAGAAUUUCCUUGGCUUGGAAGGCAGAAAGGAAGAAUGCGUCAUCAGGAGUUGGAGGCCUCCUUGAACUGUAGCUCAGAAGUGUGGGACUAGUGUCAUUCAUACCAGCUGAGGACUGAGAGCUCCCCAGGAAUUUUCCUUAAAAUAAACCAAAAACCAACGCUGUCUUCAAUGGAGAGAUACGCUGCAAAGAAAAUCGUAGCUGGCUGCAAAGGAAUCAUCUUUCCUGUUUAGACUGUAGAUUACCAGUGUCCAUUACUGAACUUUCUGGAUCAUCCCAUGUCAACACAAAAUUAUUGCUACACCCUACACAUGUCUCCAGGCCUUCACCAAAGAAAGUUUCUCUUUUUAGGGAUAUUCAGUGGUUGAAAAUGAACCAGAAGAAAGAACUUCAGAAGAAAGAGCUGGGAAGGAUAGAAGAGAAAAAUGAAGUGAACUUUAAGGUGAGUUUAAUGCUACCCGUCUGUUAUGUUCAUUUGUAUGCCGGAGCAGUGCUGACAAGCCUCCUGUUGUUCCAUGUAGCAUCUGUGUCAGCCAACCAGGUUAGUGAAAGAUUC